rnacentral:rRNA from 1 species
AACGAACGCUGGCGGCAGGCCUAACACAUGCAAGUCGAGCGAGGUAGCAAUACCUAGCGGCGGACGGGUUAGUAACGCGUGGGAACGUGCCCAAAGGUACGGAAUAGCCUCGGGAAACUGAGAGUAAUACCGUAUGUGCCCUUCGGGGGAAAGAUUUAUCGCCUUUGGAUCGGCCCGCGUUGGAUUAGGUAGUUGGUGGGGUAAUGGCCUACCAAGCCGACGAUCCAUAGCUGGUUUGAGAGGAUGAUCAGCAACACUGGGACUGAGACACGGCCCAGACUCCUACGGGAGGCAGCAGUGGGGAAGUCUUAGACAAUGGGGGAAACCCGUGAUCUAGCCAUGCCGCGUGAGCGAUGAAGGCCUUAGGGUUGUAAAGCUCUUUCAGCUGGGAAGAUAAUGACGGUACCAGCAGAAGAAGCCCCGGCUAACUCCGUGCCAGCAGCCGCGGUAAAGUCUGUACU